UGGGGAAUCUUGCACAAUGGGGGCAACCCUGAUGCAGCGACGCCGCGUGAGCGAUGAAGCUCUUCGGGGCGUAAAGCUCUUUCGACCGGAACGAUAAUGACGGUACCGGGAGAAGAAGCUGCGGCUAACUACGUGCCAGCAGCCGCGGUAAUACGUAGGCAGCAAGCGUUGUUCGGAGUUACUGGGCGUAAAGAGUGCGUAGGCGGUUUUCUAAGUUCGGUGUGAAAUCUCCCGGCUUAACUGGGGGGGUGCGCCGAAGGCUGGGAAGCUGGAGUGUGGGAAAGGCAGGCGGAAUUCCUGGUGUAGCGGUGAAAUGCGUAGAUAUCAGGAGGAACACCGGAGGUGUAGACGGCUUGCUAGACCAUAACUGACGCUGAGGCACGAAAGCGUGGGUAGCAAACA
rnacentral:rRNA from 1 species